rnacentral:rRNA from 1 species
UAGGGAAUCUUCGGCAAUGGACGAAAGUCUGACCGAGCAACGCCGCGUGAGUGAAGAAGGUUUUCGGAUCGUAAAACUCUGUUGUUAGAGAAGAACAAGGACGUUAGUAACUGAACGUCCCCUGACGGUAUCUAACCAGAAAGCCACGGCUAACUACGUGCCAGCAGCCGCGGUAAUACGUAGGUGGCAAGCGUUGUCCGGAUUUAUUGGGCGUAAAGCGAGCGCAGGCGGUUUCUUAAGUCUGAUGUGAAAGCCCCCGGCUCAACCGGGGAGGGUCAUUGGAAACUGGGAGACUUGAGUGCAGAAGAGGAGAGUGGAAUUCCAUGUGUAGCGGUGAAAUGCGUAGAUAUAUGGGGGAACACCAGUGGCGAAGGCGACUCUCUGGUCUGUAACUGACGCUGAGGCUCGAAAGCGUGGGGAGCAAACAGG